CCGUACAUAUAUUCUGGCUUGGCUAAACUGUUCAACUACACUCCUUGUCUUUUUACUAAUACAUUCUACCUAGAAGCACUAAGCCACUAACCAUGCACUCUCUCCAUUUCUUCAAAGAAAGGUGAUAUCAGAGCUUCUUUUGACGGAAAUGAUAUUCCAACAACUUUCGGAGAACCCAAAGGGGUUGUACUUAGAUCUUCAUGACAUGGGUGUUGUUCCACAUGAACCAGUAGGACCAGAGCCACAUGAGCCUUUUGUUCACAUGUUGAUGAUCCCGCUGGAGUUGUUGAGCAUGGAGCAGGAGGAGGCAUUGUACCUGAGGAGGACGAGGCAGAGAAGGAUCCAGAUGAGUACCUUGAGGAUGGAGUGUUCAUUGGGGGAAAACCCUAAUGACCAUGUUUAGAUUUGACUUCUUCCAUGUGGGAAAGAGUUUAAGAGUGUUAAUUUGUUUGUUGUGUACUUAAUGUCUCUUAAAACUCUAUUUUUAUUUAUUAAUGGUAGCCAGUCUUGGUGAUAUAGUAUGACUGAUGUAGCAUGACUGAUGUAGUAUGACUGAUGCAAUAUGACUCUAGUUAGAUGGUAACUAUGUUUGCUCAUAUUAGGUUUCAUAAAGACUUAUGGAUCACUGUAAAAUAUUUGCUAUGAUGAGUAUUAUGAGCCUCAGGCUUAGACCAAAUGA